rnacentral:rRNA from 1 species
UACGUAGGGUGCAAGCGUUGUCCGGAAUUAUUGGGCGUAAAGAGCUCGUAGGCGGUCUGUCACGUCGGCUGUGAAAACCCGAGGCUCAACCUCGGGCCUGCAGUCGAUACGGGCAGACUAGAGUUCGGUAGGGGAGACUGGAAUUCCUGGUGUAGCGGUGAAAUGCGCAGAUAUCAGGAGGAACACCGGUGGCGAAGGCGGGUCUCUGGGCUGUAACUGACGCUGAGGAGCGAAAGCAUGGGGAGCGAACAGG